rnacentral:rRNA from 1 species
UACAGAGGGGGCAAGCGUUGUUCGGAAUUACUGGGCGUAAAGGGCGCGUAGGCGGCCUUCUAAGUCGAACGUGAAAUCCCUGGGCUCAACCCAGGAACUGCGUCUGAUACUGGGAGGCUUGAAUCCGGGAGAGGGAUGCGGAAUUCCAGGUGUAGCGGUGAAAUGCGUAGAUAUCUGGAGGAACACCGGUGGCGAAGGCGGCGUUCUGGACUGCAACUGACACUGAGGAACGAAAGCCAGGGGAGCAAACGGG